UACAGAGGUCCCAAGCGUUGUUCGGAUUCAUUGGGCGUAAAGGGUGCGUAGGCGGCGCGGUAAGUCGGGUGUGAAAUCUCGGGGCUUAACUCCGAAACUGCAUUCGAUACUGCCGUGCUUGAGGACUGGAGAGGAGACUGGAGUUUACGGUGUAGCGGUGAAAUGCGUAGAGAUGUGGAGGAACACCAGUGGCGAAGGCGACUCUUUGGCCUGUAACUGACGCUGAGGCGCGAAAGCGUGGGGAGCAAACAGG
rnacentral:rRNA from 1 species